CUCUGCAUCAAGGUCAGCAUGAUAGCACUGUCUCUCUAUGCUUAGGGAGAGGCCUGUCCCGUACAUCCCGUGCCCCCGCAAGACGCCUACUACAACACUGGAUAAAUUUCUAUUCAGAUGCAACUCAGGAUUACAGUUCAAGGCAGAUGGAGUAAGAGACUCACACCCAGAAAAAGAGGUGGUGAAAGUGACUGUUCAGACCUCCCGUUGCUGAGUUUCAGAAGAACGGAAUGUAGAAAACAAAGGAUAAAAUUUAAAAGGUAAAAGUUUACUGCUCGUUAAAUUCUCCUUUGGGAAAUGAAGUUUUGUUAACAACUGAACCUUCUAGAACACCCACUGAUUUUCAUGAAAUGCUACAAUGAAAAGAACUGCCAAG
rnacentral:lncRNA from 1 species